AUUGAACGCUGGCGGCAUGCCUUACACAUGCAAGUCGAACGGCAGCACGGGUGCUUGCACCUGGUGGCGAGUGGCGAACGGGUGAGUAAUACAUCGGAACAUGUCCUGUAGUGGGGGAUAGCCCGGCGAAAGCCGGAUUAAUACCGCAUACGAUCCACGGAUGAAAGCGGGGGACCUUCGGGCCUCGCGCUAUAGGGUUGGCCGAUGGCUGAUUAGCUAGUUGGUGGGGUAAAGGCCUACCAAGGCGACGAUCAGUAGCUGGUCUGAGAGGACGACCAGCCACACUGGGACUGAGACACGGCCCAGACUCCUACGGGAGGCAGCAGUGGGGAAUUUUGGACAAUGGGCGAAAGCCCGAUCCAGCAAUGCCGCGUGUGUGAAGAAGGCCUUCGGGUUGUAAAGCACUUUUGUCCGGAAAGAAAUCCUUGGCUCUAAUACAGUCGGGGGAUGACGGUACCGGAAGAAUAAGCACCGGCUAACUACGUG
rnacentral:rRNA from 1 species